UGGGGAAUAUUGCACAAUGGGCGCAAGCCUGAUGCAGCAUGCCGCGUGUAUGAAGAAGGCCUUCGGGUUGUAAAGUACUUUCAGCGGGGAGGAAGGUGUUGUGGUUAAUAACCACAGCAAUUGACGUUACCCGCAGAAGAAGCACCGGCUAACUCCGUGCCAGCAGCCGCGGUAAUACGGAGGGUGCAAGCGUUAAUCGGAAUUACUGGGCGUAAAGCGCACGCAGGCGGUCUGUCAAGUCGGAUGUGAAAUCCCCGGGCUCAACCUGGGAACUGCAUCCGAAACUGGCAGGCUUGAGUCUUGUAGAGGGGGGUAGAAUUCCAGGUGUAGCGGUGAAAUGCGUAGAGAUCUGGAGGAAUACCGGUGGCGAAGGCGGCCCCCUGGACAAAGACUGACGCUCAGGUGCGAAAGCGUGGGGAGCAAACA
rnacentral:rRNA from 1 species